UACGUAGGUGGCAAGCGUUGUCCGGAUUUAUUGGGUUUAAAGGGUGCGUAGGCGGCUUUGUAAGUCAGUGGUGAAAUAUGGCAGCUCAACUGUCAGGGUGCCAUUGAUACUGCAGAGCUUGAGUACAGAUGAGGUAGGCGGAAUUGACGGUGUAGCGGUGAAAUGCUUAGAUAUCGAUCAAGAACACCGAUAGCGAAGGCAGCUUACUGGGCUGUAACUGACGCUGAGGCACGAAAGUGUGGGGAUCAAACAGG
rnacentral:rRNA from 1 species